GUAGACGGUCACCGCCUCGUAAUACUCCGCUGGCACCUGAUGGACGACAAAUUUAUGAAUCCACCGAUCACGGAGAGUGAAUAGAUUGCAGAUUAAGGCGGUGCGAUCAUCAGUUGCCAUUGCCAAGAAGUUAAAAGUUGACAACCACGACUGUCUGUUGCCACCGGAAAUAGCGCUAGUCGCUAUUCCUUGCAACUGGCGACGGAGCGUCUUUGCAACUUAUUGUGGAAUGGGCUUUAAUGAUACCGAUUUUGCGUUACACAUAAAGAGGUAAUAAAACGAAUUGGUUACGUUUAUAUCAUAUCGAAAUUAUUCAUCCGGGAUUAAAAGGCGCUGACCGACCCACUGUGGUGCAGCAUAUCGAAUUUCCAAAUUCCGAGCACACUUCGAAUACAGGAUUAAUCAUCCUCGAGAAUAUAAAAGUGCAAUUGAAUAUAUCUGACAGACGAUAAAUGGCCUAUCCAAAGUCACUCCAAAAAUAUUAUCUUAGGUUGCAACGCAAUGCGAGUGCCAUUUAAGUGGCUGAAAGUGAUGUCGCGUCGAAGCGGCGACGAUUUAAGCAAUUCAAGCAAGCGGGCUUUGACAAGAAAUCGUCUAAUAGUUCAAGGGUUAAAUCGAUCUCAAAUGAUCUCGCGCGACAACCACCGGUGGGCCGGAGCGUAUCGUGCAAAGGGGACAUCCAAACGGAGCCGCUCGCCAGACUCCGUAAUAGGAAAGCACGUCGUAGAGAGAUCGUGCGUGCAUCCUUAAUAGAGAAAAAUUAUCCUUACGCGUGUACAAUUGAGAAGAACGAGGGACACGUGGUGGAAGCCUCGCGGACUUCGUCCUUUCUCUGUUUCUCUUUCUCUUUAUCGCCCCCUUCUCCCUGUACCUCUCCUCCUUUUCCUGCUCUGUAUCUCUGGCCCCAGAGAGAAAGCACUUAAGCCAGAAAACUUAAUUCCUCAGUAGAAGAA
rnacentral:lncRNA from 13 species